rnacentral:tRNA from 1 species
GAGGAUGUAGCUCAGUGGGAGAGUGCUUGCCUUGGAGGGAAGAGGCCCUUGGUUCCAUCCUCA